rnacentral:rRNA from 1 species
AGAGUUUGAUCAUGGCUCAGAUUGAACGCUGGCGGCGUGCCUAACACAUGCAAGUCGAGCGGUAACAGGUGUAGCAAUACAUGCUGACGAGCGGCGAACGGGUGAGUAAUGCUUCGGAAUCUGCCCAAUGGUGGGGAAUAACCAGCCGAAAGGUUGGCUAAUACCGCAUACGUCCUACGGGAGAAAGCAGGGGAUCGCAAGACCUUGCGCCAAUGGAUGAGCCGAAGUCGGAUUAGCUAGUUGGUAGGGUAACGGCCUACCAAGGCGACGAUCCGUAGCUGGUCUGAGAGGACGACCAGCCACACUGGGACUGAGACACGGCCCAGACUCCUACGGGAGGCAGCAGUGGGGAAUAUUGGACAAUGGGGGAAACCCUGAUCCAGCGACGCCGCGUGUGUGAAGAAGGCCUGCGGGUUGUAAAGCACUUUUAGUGGGGAUGAAAAGUUCAGGGCUAAUACCCCUGGAUCUUGACCUAACCCACAGAAAAAGCACCGGCUAACUCUGUGCCAGCAGCCGCGGUAAUACAGAGGGUGCAAGCGUUAAUCGGAAUUACUGGGCGUAAAGCGUGCGUAGACGGUUACAUAAGUCGGGUGUGAAAGCCCCGGGCUCAACCUGGGAAUUGCAUUCGAGACUGCGUAGCUAGGGUGCGGAAGAGGGAAGCGGAAUUUCCGGUGUAGCGGUGAAAUGCGUAGAUAUCGGAAGGAACACCAGUGGCGAAAGCGGCUUCCUGGUCCAGCACCGACGUUCAGGCACGAAAGCGUGGGGAGCAAACAGGAUUAGAUACCCUGCUAGUCCACGCCGUAAACGAUGAUCACUAGACGUUGGUUCUGCUCUGCAGAAUUAGUGUCGUAGCUAACGCGAUAAGUGAUUCGCCUGGGGACUACGGGUCGCAGAUUAAAACUUAAAGGAAUUGACGG